GAGACUCUGUGCGCGUGCAUAUCAAUAAGCGGAGGAAAAGAAACUAACUAGGAUUCCCUCAGUAACGGCGAGUGAAGCGGGAAGAGCUCAAAUUUGAAAUCUUAAAGGGUUUCCCUUGACGAAUUGUAGUUUAUAGAAGUGUUUUCUGUUAGUAGAGUUCGGUAAAAGUUCUUUGGAAUAGGACAUCAUAGAGGGUGAGAAUCCCGUAUUUGACCGUUACUUUCUCAGCUGUGUGAUACACUUUCAAAGAGUCGGAUUGUCUGGGAAUGCAGUCCAAAAUGGGUGGUAAAUUUCAUCUAAAGCUAAAUACUGGCGAGAGACCGAUAGCGAACAAGUACCGUGAGGGAAAGAUGAAAAGAACUUUGAAAAGAGAGUUAAACAGUACGUGAAAUUGUCAAAAGGGAAGCGUUUGACACCAGUGUUGUUUUCUCGAAAAUCAAUUAAAAAUGAUGGGAUUUUGUGUUGUAUUGACUUUAUCAGCUUUCUGCACUUUUUUCUUAUCCUUUUUUAAUGCACUUUUCGUUUAACAAGUCAACAUCAAUUUCUUUUGUUGUAAAAGAGUCAUUGGAAGGUGGCUUCUUCUUCAGAAAAAGUGUUUAUAGCCUUUGGCUUCUGCAAUCGGAGAGAUUGAGGUCUGCAGCGUAGAUCCUUCGGGGUUAGAUACAUUUGUGCUAAGCUAUAGUUCUUUAUAGACAACUUGUUGACUAUAAUCAAUCCUGUAACUUACUCGCUUAUGCUAUUUUACCUACGCUUAGGAUGUUGAUCUGUAGUGCGUGCGC
rnacentral:rRNA from 1 species